rnacentral:rRNA from 1 species
AGCGAACGCUGGCGGCAGGCUUAAUACAUGCAAGUCGAACGCACCCUUCGGGGUGAGUGGCGGACGGGUGAGUAACACGUGGGAAUGUGCCUUUAGGUUCGGAACAACUCAGGGGAAACUUGAGCCUAAAUACCGGAUAAGCCCCCAUUCUUUAGCGAGAGUGAGGGGAAAGAUUUAAUCGCCUUUAGAGCAGCCCGCGUCUGAUUAGCUAGUUGGUGGGGUAAAAGCCUACCAAGGCGACGANCAGUAGCUGGUCUGAGAGGAUGGCCAGCCACACUGGGACUGAGACACGGCCAGACU